GGUCCUACGGGAGGCAGCAGUGGGGGAUAUUGCACAAUGGGGGGAACCCUGAUGCAGCGACGCCGCGUGGGCGAUGGAGUACUUCGGUAUGUAAAGCCCUAUCAGCAGGGAAGAAAAUGACGGUACCUGACUAAGAAGCCCCGGCUAACUACGUGCCAGCAGCCGCGGUAAUACGUAGGGGGCAAGCGUUAUCCGGAUUUACUGAGUGUAAAGGGAGCGCAGACGGCAGCGCAAGUCUGGAGUGAAAGCCCGGGGCCCAACCCCGGAACUGCUCUGGAAACUGUGCGGCUAGAGUACUGGAGGGG
rnacentral:rRNA from 1 species